CCGGGGUGGGACCUAAAAGAUAAUAGGUUUCCGGGAUAAAGGGCGCAAGCGGUUCGGGUUGAAACGGAGGGGUUUCGUGGCACACAGCCCAGGCUUAGAGUAUGAAUGUCACUAAAGCGUAAAUGAUUGAUACGCUGAGCGGCAGAGCCUAUGACAAAUGCAACUCGAUUGCGGUAGCACAGGGAGAAAAGGCUUGCUAUCAGGUGAUCCGAGUAGGCGGCAGGGUGGGUAAGUAGAGCGCACUGAGGGGAGGUUCCAGGGAGGAAACGCGGAAACUCUAAAUAUCCCGCAUAAUGUCGCAAGAUCAAAGUGGGGCGACCGAUUGGCCUCAUGCCAUCAGAUGUGCCCGAACGGAAUGAGCUAGUAAGUGGGGUAACGAGCUCACCUAGGCGACGAUCCCUAGCUGGUCUGAGAGGAUGACCAGCCACACUGGAACUGAGACACGGUCCAGACUCCUACGGGAGGCAGCAGUGGGGAAUAUUGCACAAUGGGCGCAAGCCUGAUGCAGCCAUGCCGCGUGUGUGAAGAAGGCCUUCGGAGUUGUAAAGCACUUUCAGCGGGGAGGAAGGCGUUAAGGUUAAUAACCUUGGCGAUUGACGUUACCCGCAGAAGAAGCACCGGCUAACUCCGUGCCAGCAGCCGCGGUAAUACGGAGGGUGCAAGCGUUAAUCGGAAUUACUGGGCGUAAAGCGCACGCAGGCGGUCUGUCAAGUCGGAUGUGAAAUCCCCGGGCUCAACCUGGGAACUGCAUUCGAAACUGGCAGGCUAGAGUCUUGUAGAGGGGGGUAGAAUUCCAGGUGUAGCGGUGAAAUGCGUAGAGAUCUGGAGGAAUACCGGUGGCGAAGGCGGCCCCCUGGACAAAGACUGACGCUCAGAUGCGAAAGCGUGGGGAGCAAAACAGGAUUAGAUACCCUGGUAGUCCACGCCGUAAACGAUGUCGAUUUGAGAGGUUGUGCCCUUGAAGCGUGGCUUCCGGAGCUAACGCGUUAAAUCGACCGCCUGGGGAGUACGGCCGCAAGGUUAAAACUCAAAUGAAUUGACGGGGGCCCGCACAAGCGGUGGAGCAUGUGGUUUAAUUCGAUGCAACGCGAAGAACCUUACCUGGUCUUGACAUCCACAGAACUUACCAGAGAUGGAUUGGUGCCUUCGGGAACUGUGAGACAGGUGCUGCAUGGCUGUCGUCAGCUCGUGUUGUGAACACUGUUGGGUUAAGUCCCGCAACGAGCGCAACCCUUAUCCUUUGUUGCCAGCGGUUCGGCCGGGAACUCAAAGGAGACUGCCAGUGAUAAACUGGAGGAAGGUGGGGAUGACGUCAAGUCAUCAUGGCCCUUACGACCAGGGCUACACACGUGCUACAAUGGCAUAUACAAAGAGAAGCGACCUCGCGAGAGCAAGCGGACCUCAUAAAGUAUGUCGUAGUCCGGAUUGGAGUCUGCAACUCGACUCCAUGAAGUCGGAAUCGCUAGUAAUCGUAGAUCAGAAUGCUACGGUGAAUACGUUCCCGGGCCUUGUACACACCGCCCGUCACACCAUGGGAGUGGGUUGCAAAAGAAGUAGGUAGCUUAACCUUCGGGAGGGCGCUUACCACUUGUGAUC
rnacentral:rRNA from 1 species